rnacentral:rRNA from 1 species
CAGCAGCCGCGGUAAUACGUAGGGUGCAAGCGUUAAUCGGAAUUACUGGGCGUAAAGCGUGCGCAGGCGGUCCGCUAAGACAGAUGUGAAAUCCCCGGGCUUAACCUGGGAACUGCAUUUGUGACUGGCGGGCCAGAGUAUGGCAGAGGGGGGUAGAAUUCCACGUGUAGCAGUGAAAUGCGUAGGGAUGUGGAGGAAUACCGAUGGCGAAGGCAGCCCCCUGGGCCAAUACUGACGCUCAUGCACGAAAGCGUGGGGAGCAAACAGGAUUAGAUACCCCUGUAGUCCCUGUCUCUUAUAC